rnacentral:misc_RNA from 1 species
ACUAGGCUACAGCACAGAAGAGUACUAAGAACAGAGAGAAAAGGAGAAAUUAAUAGAGGUAGAAAUGAGGAAUCUCUCUCCAUCUGUUGUAGCGAUGGUAUUGAUGAUGAUUCUGGUGCUCAACAACACAUUAACCCGUUGCAAAGCAAGCGUUUUAUCAAGCACGACCAGCAAUAGUCCUUUCUCCGUAGCCAACGACAACAUAGAGUUGGAGUUCAUGAUGGAUUCAGAAAUUAGUAGAAUGCUUGGUACUCGUUCCUCACCUUACAACGUCCUAGAACGGGGCAAAACACCGGCACGAUGCGGCAUGAGAGGCGAACGCUACUGUACUUCUGAUAUAAAUCCGUCUCUUAAGAAGCAACCAUGCUCGCCAUACACACGCACUUGUUAAUUACUAGGAACUGUGAUUACAAUAAAUGUUCCUAUGCAUCUUCUUCUUCUUCUUCGUUCAAUGGCGUUUAUGCAUCUGUAUUGUUUAAUUGAUCUAUUAUAACAUUGUUGAAAUAUUAUGUAAGAAUUUGGGUCCGGUUAUCCAUGUGAGACCACCCGAUCCAUGUCUCUUGAAUAAUAUUUAUGGAAUAUUAUUUAUUAUUAUAAAAAAUAUUUGAAAACUUGUAACUUUUGGCACUUUGAGUUACCAUCAUAUUUAUUGAAAAAGCAUCAUAUAUAUUGAAAAAGCAUCACCGCCUCAUAUAUCCCUAGAAACUUCUAUUAUGUGGCAGAAAAUUUUGUAGAUGAACAUCACAAGGAAAGACUCCAGAAUUCUCUUCAAGCUUCGGGAGAAAAUCAAGAGAAACAUCAUCACCGCCACUCUAGGUGUUUUGUUUUAAGGGUCUUCUUCAUCACCUUCAACUUGAGGCCCAAAUUGCUCUAGUUGCCGACUUACUAUACAAGUUGUGCUGUAUAUGUACGAGUGAGAGUGCUUGUGUGUGAGUGUGUAAGUAAGAGUGGAG